rnacentral:rRNA from 1 species
UACGGGGGGGGCAAGCGUUGUUCGGAAUCACUGGGCGUAAAGCGCACGUAGGCGGAUUGUUAAGUCAGGGGUGAAAUCCUGGAGCUCAACUCCAGAACUGCCUUUGAUACUGGCGAUCUUGAGUCCGGGAGAGGUGAGUGGAACUCCGAGUGUAGAGGUGAAAUUCGUAGAUAUUCGGAAGAACACCAGUGGCGAAGGCGGCUCACUGGCCCGGUACUGACGCUGAUGUGCGAAAGCGUGGGGAGCAAACAGG